UUAAACGCGAAAAGMCCUUACCUACUCUUGACAUCCAGAGAACUUAGCAGAGAUGCUUUGGUGCCUUCGGGAACUCUGAGACAGGUGCUGCAUGGCUGUCGUCAGCUCGUGUUGUGAAAUGUUGGGUUAAGUCCCGCAACGAGCGCAACCCUUAUCCUUUGUUGCCAGCGGUUCGGCCGGGAACUCAAAGGAGACUGCCAGUGAUAAACUGGAGGAAGGUGGGGAUGACGUCAAGUCAUCAUGGCCCUUACGAGUAGGGCUACACACGUGCUACAAUGGCAUAUACAAAGAGAAGCGACCUCGCGAGAGCAAGCGGACCUCAUAAAGUAUGUCGUAGUCCGGAUUGGAGUCUGCAACUCGACUCCAUGAAGUCGGAAUCGCUAGUAAUCGUAGAUCAGAAUGUUC
rnacentral:rRNA from 1 species